UUUCUCCGCCGGCGACCGGCGCACGGGUGAGUAACACGUAUGCAACCUGCCCCUGUCAGGGGACAACCCGCCGAAAGGCGGGCUAAACCCGCGUACAUGCCACCGGGGCAUCCCGGAGGCAGGAAAGGCUUCGGCCGGACAGGGAUGGGCAUGCGGCGCAUUAGGCAGUAGGCGGGGUAACGGCCCACCUAACCGACGAUGCGUAGGGGGUUCUGAGAGGAAGGUCCCCCACACUGGUACUGAGACACGGACCAGACUCCUACGGGAGGCAGCAG
rnacentral:rRNA from 1 species